CCCUAUGGGGCGCAGGUGGAAGUGAUAUCUCCCCAAACCUUGCGAACGGAUAUAAAGACAGAAAUAGAAAGGAUGAAAAAGAUUUAUAACUAAUAAUUUGUUUGUCAUUUCCCGACUUGAGAGGGGAAUCCGGAAAAACUUGUAAGUGAGGGGGAAUUACUUUCUGGGCAAUCCGACCGAUAGAAUGAACGUAGGGAUUGAUUCCCGACCAGAUCGCGCAACUGAUGUUCAAAAUCCCUCUUUCGAGGGAUUGAUAAUAUUUAAAGAAGUACAUAAAAACAAACCAUCAAGCCCCCGAUGUUUUGGAAUGAAUAGACACUAUUUCGGAAAUUUCUGGAACGUUUCUUCAUCUUGAGUCGAUAAAAUAAUAAUUUUGAGAAAUGUUUUUCAUGGGACAUGAAUUGGCGGGAGGGC
rnacentral:rRNA from 1 species